GGGUAGGUAGCGAAGUGGUUAAACGCAACAGACUGUAAAUCUGUCGCCCCCGGGCUUCGGAGGUUCGAAUCCUUCCCUACCCA
rnacentral:tRNA from 1 species